ensembl:lncRNA
AAUCCCCUGGAGAGGACUGCCUCUUCCCCCAGCUUGGGGCUCAUUCAACUGCCUAAUGCUCCAGCCACUGGGAGGCCUCCAGUGGCAGACUCUGAACCCCUGAUGUCCACCACCUCCCUCUCCUCUCCUCUCAUCCACCCCUGCAACUCCUCCAUCCCAUGAUGUAGCAGAGUUCCAGUCACUCAGGAAAAAGGAGACCAAGAGCCCCACGUAGACAGAGGGCCUAGUUCUUGUGUGCCAAGGUGUGCCUACAGACUGUCACUUCGAUUCGGGGUUCCUCAGCCCAGCACUGCUGACACUGUGGGUGCAGCAUUUUUUAAAAGCAAAAUUUCUAAAAGAUCGGGGCCUACCGUAAUUCUUCAUAUUACAUUUGUUGAACAAGUUCCAUCCCAGUCGAGGAAGAUCCCACCCGCUGCAGGACAACUAAGCCCAAGUGCCACACUAUUGAGCCUGCACCCUGGAGCCCGUGAGCCACAAAUACUGAAGCCCAUGCACCACAGCCACUGAAGCCUGCGUGCCAUGGAGCCCACGCUGCGCAACAAAAGAAGCCACCACACAAGAAGCCUGUGCACUGCAGCUAGAGAGUAGCCCCCACGCACCGCAAGGAGGGAAAGCCCUCGUAGCAGUGAAGACC